UACAGAGUUUGGACUUUAAUCUGUGGGCAA
rnacentral:piRNA from 1 species